ACGGGUGAGUAACGCGUGGGUAACCUGCCUCACACAGGGGGAUAACAGUUGGAAACGGCUGCUAAUACCGCAUAAGCGCACGGUAUCGCAUGAUACAGUGUGAAAAACUCCGGUGGUAUAAGGAUGGACCCGCGUCUGAUUAGCUUGUUGGUGAGGUUAACGGCCCACCAAGGCGACGAUCAGUAGCCGGCCUGAGAGGGUGAACGGCCACAUUGGGACUGAGACACGGCCCAGACUCCUACGGGAGGCAGCAGUGGGGGAUAUUGCACAAUGGGGGAAACCCUGAUGCAGCGACGCCGCGUGGAGGAAGAAGGUUUUCGGAUUGUAAACUCCUGUCGUUAGGGACGAUAAUGACGGUACCUAACAAGAAAGCACCGGCUAACUACGUG
rnacentral:rRNA from 1 species